CGGAGUGUAGCCCAGCCUGGUAGGGCACUUGAAUGGGGUUCAAGUGGUCGGGGGUUCAAAUCCCUCCACUCCGA
rnacentral:tRNA from 1 species